UACGUAGGGUGCGAGCGUUGUCCGGAAUUAUUGGGCGUAAAGAGCUCGUAGGCGGUGUGUCGCGUCGGCCGUGAAAACCUGGGGCUUAACUCUGGGCGUGCGGUCGAUACGGGCAUCACUAGAGUUCGGCAGGGGAGACUGGAAUUCCUGGUGUAGCGGUGAAAUGCGCAGAUAUCAGGAGGAGCACCGGUGGCGAAGGCGGGUCUCUGGGCCGAUACUGACGCUGAGGAGCGAAAGCAUGGGUAGCGAACAGG
rnacentral:rRNA from 1 species